GAUGAAGAACGCAGCGAAAUGCGAUAAGUAAUGUGAAUUGCAGAAUUCAGUGAAUCAUCGAAUCUUUGAACGAACAUUGCGCCCGCCAGUAUUCUGGCGGGCAUGCCUGUUCGAGCGUCAUUUCAACCAUCAAGCCCCAGGCUUGUGUUGGGGACCUGCGGCUGCCGCAGGCCCUGAAAACCAGUGGCGGGCUCGCUGUCACACCGGGCGUAGUAGAUUUUAUCUCGCUCAGGGCGUGCUGCGGGUUCCGGCCGUUAAAAAGCCUUUUUUACCCAAGGUUGACCUCGGAUCAGGUAGGAAGACCCGCUGAACUUAAGCAUAUCAAUAAGCGGAGGA
rnacentral:misc_RNA from 1 species